GACGAACGCUGGCGGCGUGCCUAACACAUGCAAGUCGAACGAGGUCCAUCCUUCGGGAGAAGACCUAGUGGCGAACGGGUGAGUAACACGUGAAGAACCUGCCCCGAAGACCGGGAUAACCCUCCGAAAGGAGAGCUAAUACCGGAUACCCCCACCGAACCGCAUGGUUUGGUGAGGAAAUGGAUUCCGCUUCGGGAGGGCUUCGCGGCCUAUCAGCUAGUUGGUGGGGUAACGGCCCACCAAGGCAUCGACGGGUAGCUGGUCUGAGAGGACGAUCAGCCACACUGGGACUGAGACACGGCCCAGACUCCUACGGGAGGCAGCAGUGGGGAAUCUUGCGCAAUGGGCGAAAGCCUGACGCAGCAACGCCGCGUGGGGGAUGAAGGGCUCUCGGGUUGUAAACCCCUUUCAGCAGGGACGAAUCAAGACGGUACCUGCAGAAGAAGCCCCGGCUAACUACGUGCCAGCAGCCGCGGUAAU
rnacentral:rRNA from 1 species